rnacentral:rRNA from 1 species
UGGGAAUAACAGGCUGGUCUUCUACAAGAGCCCAUUUCGACGUGAAGGUGUGGCACCUUGAGGUCAGCUGC